rnacentral:tRNA from 1 species
GGCCUCUUGGUCUAGUGGUAUGAUUCUCGCUUUGGGUCUAUUUAUCUCAACCUGCGAGAGGCCCCGGGUUCGAAUCCCGGAGAGGCCC